AAUACAUUCAGAAAACACUUACUGAACAUUUAUGAUGUGUCAGACACUGUGUUAGAAACUUGGGAGGCAAAGCUUCUACGUCUAAGAAGCUCAGAGUCAAGUUGGGGGCAGUUUCCUGUGGAACCUGGAAGGAUCAGGAUUCCUGAAAAUUUAAACCAGAACUCAGAUAUUCCAGUAAUUGCUCAUCAAGUGCCCACUAGUAGCUAAGCAUCUGCUACACAACAGCAUACAAAGUCUGGAAGGUCCAAAUUGGAUGUUUACUUGCAGUGAAUAUGUUUUUAAUGGUUUGUUAUAUUCAGAGGAUCAUAACUUCAAAGAUGGUCAUCAAUUAAUUCACAAAGAUAAUGUCAGAAGCAGGAUCCAAAGUGGAGCUUCUAGUGACCCCCAGGAGUGCUGAGUAAACACGCAAGGUACCUGCAGGACCCACUUGUGUCCAUUGAUCUCUCAGAGCAGCUGGGCAUCGUGGGUAAAGACCUUCACAAUCGGGAACCCGUAGAUUGGAUCUUCUGAAAACAUCAGAGAAAGACUAUCUUUGCCAUCCACACUACAGUAAAACUUUGGAGCCUUGAACCUUGGAUUUAUAAUCUCACAACUGAGAAGGGUCCCUCCAUACUCCUGGAACUGUACACCCAUUGGAACUCUUAAGGAUGAUAUACAUGGCCAGGUGAAGACAGUAGAGAGAAAACAGAACUGAAACCAGAGAGCCCUCUACAGAAGGAUGUAAUGGAUAAUUAUUGGUAUACAGUGAGGUUCAUAACCAAAAACAAAAGUUCUCUCCAUGAGACCUGGAAUCUGUAAACUGUCUUCUGGCUAAGGAAUCUGAAACUUAGGAUAAACAACUUGCCUAAUUUCUUAUGAUGGAGAUGUAAUAGUGGUUGGAAUUUGGACCUAUUCCUUCUGAUUCUGGAGCUCACCAGUUAACCACUCUGCUAAACUGCCUCCCCAAGAGGGAAUCACAAGUUCAAAUUCCAGGAGAGUUGGAUCAGCCUUUCCUCUCUGGCAGCCAGGCAAAGCGAGGGUCAUGCGAUCUACUCAGCACUUUGGGAUGUGACUUCAAAACCAAAGAACAAGGUGCACAUUUUGAGAAACGUGUACUCCUUGUUUAUGUGGCUGCUUCUUUAACAGAGUGAGGGAUAUGUACUUACUGGACACAGUUUUGGUUAGCCCAGCAUCACGUUUUUUUCUGGAAACCUCACCCCACUUUUUAUGUGGUUGUAGGAAUUCCCCCACCCCCUGCCAGUACAACGGCUCUUCUUUGGCUCUAGUGGAUUGGAACAGGGCAGGCCCCUCCCAAGAGCCAGUGACCAAGUAUGGUGGGGACAUUGAGGCAGACCUAUUUCUGAGAAACACAGAAAUUUGUUGGGCAACUGUAUUGCCCAACUUUGGCUCAAAAACUCCAUGAUGACUUUGCUGAACUUUCCUUAGACCAUAGACCCACCAAAAAUGUUUCCAACCAAUCUACUCUCUCUCUCUCCUUCCCUUGGGGUUAGGCUUGCCUUGCAAUCUGAUGGCUUUGCCUAUCCUCCCCUAUUUCUGUUCACACAUUAAUUCCCCCUAAUAAAACCCCUGCUCAUUUAACACCUUCUCAUCUUCUGUUUCUUGGAGGACCUCAUCUUAUGCAUCUGGUUUAAAUCCUAGCUCUCCCACACAGUAGUCGUGUGACCUUUGAUAAUCACUACAUUGUGCUGUCCUCAAUUUCCUCUUCUGUAAAAUGAAAGUGUGGGGUAAGAGCACCUACAUCACAGUGGUGUUAUAAUUGGAUGUAAUAACCCUCAGUCAUUUACCUGGCAUGCGGUAUAGUUGUAUGCAGGAGAGUCUACUGUUUAGAAAAACCUUGAACCUAAUUGUUAGCACCAUCAGUCUGUUCUGGCUUGUGUGCUGUAAGAGCCCUCUCUGGGUCUACAUUUGCUCAAGCAUUGAUGUUCUGUAGAGUAAAUUCUGCAUGUUUGUCUCUCCACUAAAACAUAAGUUCCUUGAGAGCAGGUAGCAUAUUUCCUUCACUUCUAUAUCCUCUCCAGAUCCAAGCAAAGUGUUUGAGCAAAGUGGCAAACCAGGAAAUGCUCAUUUAAUGGAUGCGAAUUUCCUGCAGGAAUGAUGGAAUGGAGUUCAGGUCAACAGCAAAUAUUGCAUGGCUGCUUACUUUCUUCCUGUGGUAUUCUCUACAAGGACAAAUAGCACAGAACCCCCUGCCAUCUCAUACAAGUGACAGAUUGUAUAUGGUAAAUAUCAACUAAGAAAUGCAGGAGAGAGUGCAGUGCUUGAUUAGCACACUGUGGUCUAUCUAUCUCGGGUUUGGAUUCUGCUUGACCGCUUGUUAGCCCAAGACGUUGGCAAGACACUUAGCCAUACUCAGCCUGAGUUUUCCUGUCUAUACAAUAGUGAUAAUUGUGGUACUCACUCUGCAAGCUUCAUGUGAAGAUUAAAUGAGGUGAUUCCCUAUAGCUCUUGCCACAGGGCAAGUACCUAAUCAAUAUCAGCUAUUAUGAUUCUUUUUAAUUUACUUUUUAAUUGUUACUAUUGUCAAAGCAGUUUGCAUGCUAGAGUGCUGCCCUUUCUCUGGCUGAAUGUGGGGAAACAGUAGCUAGCUCCUUGGUUUCCGGAGCUCCGUUGAGUGCUGGGAGAGUGGACUUACAGCUCUGUUUUCUAGUGACUGGGGCAUCCCUAGGAAUCCCCAGGAAUCAGAGGACUUUAUUCCAAGAUUAUCUUGACUUAGCAACUUUCUUACUCUUUUAAAGACUACCACCUGACUCUAUUUCAAAUAUUUCUGCCUGUGAUGUAAAAAAUCUCUAUCAAAAUGGUUUAAAAGCCUGGGGAACAAAGAAAAAAAAAUGCCAAGGGUAGUUUCCCUUGCUGACAAGAGGUGUUUAUGUUGCCUUUAAUAGUCAUGAAGGAUGUUGUAAAAUACUUCAGGAUCAGGGCUCCCCAGACUGUUGAUUUUAUGGGCAGCUUGUUUGCUUAGCUGUUUGUUUGUGUUACAUUUUUAAAUUUAAAAAAUGUUUAAGCUUAUUAUCUUUCGCAGAGGGAGUUGAUUUUGGAAUUGCUGAAAGGUUCAAAUGUGGUAUUUUAAAAAGUGAAACACCAGAUUCUAGCAAUUUUGCUGCUAUGUGCUAAAGAUUCAGCACAUUAGUACCUAAAAACUGGAUUUGAUUAUUCUUUUUCUCUUAAGCCUCCAAAAUGCCAUUGUUUCAUCUGACAUACAAUUUAUGCUAGAGUUACUUAAACUGGUGUAUGCAGUAACUCCUAUUGCAGUGUUCUUGGGAGAUGUGAGGCCUAGGGUUUUUACCUUUUGGUGUCAUUUCAAUGCAAUAGUGAUGAGUUCACAGGGUUAGGAGGAAAGGGUGUUGCCCUCUUUCACUCAUUCCUUGUGUGUGUGACAAAUCUGGGCAGAACAUUCAAAUGCUGUGUUCUGAAUUUUCCUCCUCACUGAAUUGAGAGAAAUUUUGGAAGUUUGGAAGGCUCUCUUGAACUUUUAGGAUGAACAAAAUAACACUAUGAGAAGUUAAAUUGAUUUGCCUCUGUUUGAGGUUGAUGGGGGCCUUCAGCAUAUAAAAGUAAACAUGCAGAAUGCCAGCCAGUGCUAUUCCAAGGCAGAGAAUGGCUCAAGAACAUUUUAUGCAUGCAUACAGUUUUAAAAAAAUCAGAAUUGUGGCAUUGUGCCAAAAGCACCUCUACCUUCAUCCUAGUGUUCUUUUGAAGAAGAAAACAUAUUAUUAUUUAUAAAGAGACAAAUCAGAGCAUUCAAUAGUGACCUAGGUAAAACAAUACUGACAAAAUAACAGUAAUUAUACUAUGCAUUUAUUGAUUCAUUCAUAUUUUUCAUUCCUUCUAGUCUUCCAGUGCCUCACAAGCUAGUCAAGCAUGCCACAUACUUACACCAUGACAUAAACAUUGCACAUCCCCAACUCUACAAUUGUCGGCUGAUUGAGAACCUUACUCAACCGUCAACCUGCCAUGGUCUUGCUCCUAAUUAUUUGGAACUUUUGUCUUGCCAUAAUUGUGAACUAAAGCCGUGAAAAUAGCACAUAUUUUCACAGAUGGCAGGGCUAGUUGGUCCUUGAUUACUUGACCUCUUGGUGCUGGCUAGACAGAAAGCCCCAAGUGAAUGUUUAUACAUUGUACCCAGAAUUUUGUAGAAACUUUAGCCAUGGAUCCCAGCUUGGAAGCUUGGACCAUUUGGCCGGUUUGGGUUUGAUGUAAAAUUUCUUGGUCUUUCACUGGGAACUUUCGAGUUAUUUUAUGAGACAAGAGCUGCCAUCAUACUCAGCUUUUCAUAAAUCUUGCUCUUAACAUCUUAUCUUCAUAUGGGCAUUUUGACCAUGUCAGUUAGAGAAGCCCAGGAGGACAAGGUAACCCAUUGUCAUCUUUUUUCCGGAGUGAUCAUAACAGAUGCCUACUCAAAUAAAUGAAUGUUCCUUUAUCUGACCCAAUGGGCAUGAAAGCAUAUGAGAAACUGAAUAGAGGAAGUUAGAGGCUAAUGGUUAAGAAAUGGGAAAGUGGUAGAAGAGGCAUUUGAUGGGUUUUGCCUGUAAUCCCAGUCCCUAAUAGAAGUAAGGGCAGGGGAUGAUAGAAGGAAGAUUGGCUGGAUGCAUUGACCUUUGGUUGUAAUGGGUCAAUAAUUAGACCUAGAAAUUUCUAAAAUUGCAAAUUGGUUCUAUAGGAAAGUUACUGCAGUCUAUAGACAGGGACCUAGAGAAUCCUUCUCUGUAUGUUAGAUGGGAAAUGGUAGAAGUCCCUGGAUCCUCAAAAGAUACAAUAAAAAGAAAACCAACUUAUUUCCACCCCUCCAAUAAUGUCCUCUCUAUUUCCUGAAUAAUUUUUAAUUUAGGAUGAGAAACAGGCUUUUGAGAAGACAAAGGAAUCCUGCAGUUUUUACUGAAUGAUGGUUAGUUUUUACAGAGGAAUUUACCUUCACUGAAAGACAAUCCAAGAAACUGUUCUCACCUAUAAUUUUGGAAAAUAGUUCCCCCCAGCUCUGUAAUGGGUGCAACAAUGCUAGAACACAAAGGUGCACACACACACACGCGCACACACACACACGAAGGAAGGGGAGAAACUAAUCCCCUUCCCCUCAAAACUGUUUGGUGUAGUUUAUUACAGAUUCUAAAUUGCUGCCAAGGACAUUUAGAAUUAAAAUCAGCUUGAUGCACCUUUAGCAUUCUUAUUUCUAACCAUCAUACUUCCACUUUUUAAAAAGUUAGCUUCUUGACCAAUGGUUCUUAAAACUAUAAUCAUAUUAGUUAAAAAAAUAAAGAUGGGAAUUUCCAAAAUGUUUUCUAGCUCCUGUUACUCAUCUAACAAUAGGCAAUGAAAGUUAUAAUUGAGUUCCUGGUAUGAUAAGAACUUUCUUAGGGGCUCUCUGGAAGAAUCAGACAUGGACUCAUAAACCUCUUUUCCCAUAGCUCUCAUCAUUUCCCUAUUGUUCUCAAUCUCCAUUUCUCUCUUCUGGAAUUUAAACAUACGUUUAUAUUUUUAAAUCAUUUCUUUUGGACACUGGAUGAAAAUGGGAUGGCACUAAAGGCAUUAAGGAGUCCCAUUAAAAAAGGACCUCCAAAUAUGUGGGCAUCAGGGAAAAGUUCUGAUUCCAGUUAGGCCUUUAGGGAUGACAGAAAAGCUGAUUUUCACCUUGCAGGUCUGGAAGUUUUGUGGACCUGGAGAAUUUUUGCUAACCUCAGCUACUCCCUCUUUAAAAAUUGACCUGUCUUGCUUAGGCCAAAGGAAUCAGUAACUGGGCUUUAAGUAUUGAGGUGAGCAUACAAACUGGAUAUUUCAAAACUCAUAAAAAGGGAUUUGGAUUCUGCUUCAUCUAAAACUAUUAAUCUUUUCAUUGCUCCUGAAGGCUUCCCCUUUAACUAGAGACUAUCAAUGUUGCCCUUGGAUUAAAAGUCAACUCUGUGUUAUCUAGUGAAUAUUGCAAAAAAGCACUAUUCUUUUCCUAUGGGCAAAUAAAAAGAAUAGAUCUCAUCUUGCCCAGUGGAUGUUAAUGGACUUGAGAAAUUGCAGAAUUUAUUACCUAAGAAAACAAUGUUUCCCUUUAGUGGGAGGGAGGUCGUCAAGGGAUGGAGGCGAGAGAAGGGGAAUUGCUCUUUGGGAGCUCAUUUCUUUGCCUCCUUUUCCACCCUUACAUUCGAACAGUGCACACAUUAGAAGCUGUGUGAGGUUUUGUUUGUUUUCAAGAGAUGUUUGAAAAAAGAUCAAAUGCUUGUGAAAGGCACUGGAUUGGCAGCCCAAGAAACUAAAGUGUCCCGGAAGCUGUGUGAGCCCAGAAAUAUCCUGCAUUUCUAUUUAUUUUGGCAAUUUUACUUAAGACUACCAAUAACUGGAGUUCAUACUACAAUUAAAUUUUCCCCAGGCACCAUGAAAUGAAAGCACGUAUUACACUUAAUUUUAACUGGUUGAGAAAAAUGGUGGUUUUCUGAAAGUUCAUUAUAUGACCCGGAAACAGAAGCAAUGGCUCUCACUUGGGAGAGCCAAGCUACCUAUUUAAGUUGGAAUUAUUCAUAGAACCAGGGGUUCUCUGGGUUGGAAUGGUUCUUAGGUCAUUGAGUUCUCUUAUCCUACCACAUGCUUGAAACUCUACUACCACAUCAUGGAAAAGCGUUGGCAAGCUUGGGCUUGAAGUUUUUGGUGACACAAGACUGGCUUCUACUUCAGGAGACCAACUUCUUUUUCACAUAGCUCCAAUUUUCAGAGACAUUCUAUAACAAGUGAAGAGAUGAAGGAGAAAACUGGCUUGGGCCCAAUAUUCAGUAUGGUUGGAAACCACUUCAAGGAAGAGGUGCAAAUAUAUUCUAACUUAGAAGGUUGAACCUGGCAGUCAGCUUGGAUGGGAAGUUGCCAUUUCUCUCUCUGGCCCUGGGAAGAGACAAGUCAUGAACACAAUCAAGGACAAGAAGUUGGUUAACCAUAUGUAAAGAGUUGGGAUCCCAUUGGAUAUCGCUUCCUGGAGAAUGAAAAAAUAUGGCUCCAUAUCAGGCAGGUGCUCAGCAGCGAUGGCUUAUGGCCCUUCCUCUACUGAUCUUUUCCUUUAUCUCUUUGGUCAUUAUGCUCAGUGUUAAUAUGGGUUGCUAAGGAACCAUAUGUACAUGGUAAUUUGGUAAAACAUCUCCCUCACAGAAAGCAGAAUUUUGGAGGAGGGCGUAGUGGCCAUCUUAGGAGCAUCUGAGGAGAAAGUUUUGCCCCCUUUUAAAUUCCUAACACGGACAUUCAACUUAUUCAAUUUUUUCCAUUUAAAAAAGGUGUGUGUGUGUGUGUGUGUGUGUGUGUGUGUGUGUGUGUGUGUGUAUUGUCUAAUCUAGAGAUCCUGAGGAGCUAAGAAGUAUGAACAAACGCACUUCAAAGACUAAACUGGACAUAAAUUCAAACGAGAAGAAAGUCUUCAUUUAGGGAAAAUCAGAGAAAAUACUUCAGGGAGGAAAAGGUAUCAAAUCUAACUGUUAGCAUGUAAUAAUAUUUUGUCAGAAGUUUUUCCCUCAUUUCUGCUCAACUACAGAGUUUCAGCUAGCAUUAAUCUUCUAAUCAAAAGGGAACAAAUCUAUUUAUAAUUGACAUAAAUGAUAGUCCUAUUUAUAGUUCUCUUUGGCGUUCCAUGCUUCUCUGUGGGAGAUCUUCCCUGAAACAAAAGCCUACUUUUUGAAGCAACUGUGUUCCAGGGACAGCCUUGAUCAUUUCUGCUGCCCGAGAGAUGUAUUUAAUUAACCUCUUAUCCCUACUCAUGGGAUGGCGGAAUGUGAAAAGUACUGACCAAUAUUACAGCAAUUCCUACAUUUGCCCUUGUAAUUCCAGUCCACAGAAAUCAUACAUGACCCAAAAAGGAAUGACAGUCCCCACGUUCCAAAGGAAGGGGCAUGAAUGCAUCUUGGCUAACCCACUUUCAACUUCAGGAUGUACUCUAGCCUAGCCCUCCCUCAAUUCUAACAACACUUCACUCAAAUUACCUCUGGAAACUGGUAGCGGGUCCUGAUUUUCUAAGAAUUUUGUGGCAAUUCCACAGGUAUUAUCUCUCCUGGUACUAAAAAAACUGCUUUGGGUAGGCAGGCAGGGCUGACUGUACCCAUUUGACAAGGGAGAGAAUUGCCUGACAGAACCCAGCCAACCAGCGAAUUCAAGGCUUUUCAGGGUGUCCAGGUCUCCUCACCUCAUAUUCAGAACUCUUUUUGAUAUCCAAUGUUGUCAUGCUGAUAGCAAAAUAAAUAUUAUUCAAAUAUACCCAGACAUUCACUUAAAUUCUCAAACUCUGCUUAAAUUCACUCAAAUUCUGCUUAAUUUAUUAACAAAACUCUGUUUUGAGGAAUCCUCAUGCUAAAAGAAAAGCAACCAACAGUGCCCAUGUUAUCUGCAUCAAAUCCUAUCUGGACCGGGGGAUACAGAGGAUAAGAUGGGAGGGGAACCUCAUGACUCCAGGUAGAAUUUUGACGCAUCAUUGAACUUGAGUUGGAAAGACUGGCCUGGCAGCUCUACAAAAGGAGGGAUUUUUUCCUAAGCUUUUCAUCAACUCAAAGUCAAAGCGGCUUGUUUGCCCAGUAUUUCUGGCCUCUCUCAGUCUAUAGAACACAACCAUGCCUCUACCUAGCCAAGGACCCAGGCAGACAGAGAGUACAUGAAGGUGUAAAUUCCACCUACUUUUAAACUUUAGUGGACGAUUUCACAAGACUGUAUAUAUAGAGAGAAGGAUGAAAAUUUUUUGUAUUCUUUUGGAAAUUCAGUAAACAUAUUUUGAGAUCUGCCAUAUCCAGGAAGAAUAAGAGAAAAAAAUGUUAUUUUUAUACAUUAUUACUUACUUUAAUUCUAUAGGUUUAUGAUGAUUAUUCUGACAUAUGGGUAAGAAUUGUUUUCUUAACCAGAUUGAAGGUAACCUUAAGGCAGAUUUGUAUGUUACUUUUUGGGAGCAUGAUGGGUGUUCAUGAACGUUAGUUUUCUGCUCUGGCUUUUUCGUUUCAGCUUCCCCUUGGUUUCUAGCACAAUUCUAGGUACACAGUUAUCCAUAAAACAUUGCUGAAUUUAAUGACAUUGAAAAAUAAUGACUUUCUUCUUCUUGGUCAAUAUUUUGCAACUGGUCAUUCCAGUCAAAAUUCACUAAGUUGGAUCCAUUUCUGGUGCCUGAGAUUUGAUUCUAUAAUCUUGUAACUUGUUGACAAUCCUUCUGCAGGGCAAACAGGAAUGCGAGCCCCUUUCUAGUUAUUCAGAAACUUUAGAAAUUGACACUUUUGAAUGCAGCAUACGGAGUUCUUUCUGUUUCAUUUUUUCUAGCGUAUUUGUGCUCUACCUGGCAUUGACUCAAUUCAUUAUCUCAGCCCAGCCCCCAGGAAUAGACUGACUCCUGCAAUUCUAACACAAGUUGUGCAUACUAAAGGAUUUGCUGAUGCUCCUCAUGAGGCAUGCAAUAGUGUUUUAAUCUGGAGAUCACAGCCAGCUUCCAACAAAAAGGAUCAUGUUCUGUUUACCUAAAUUCCCUUAGUAGUUUCCUUUAGAUACAGCACUUCUCACUCUGUACUUGAAAAUACCGAAAAGUCCAUGGAGGCCUUCCGACUCAGCCAUGUCUACAUUUCAAAUGAGUUACUGCCUUCCUAAAGGCACACAUAACUAAUCUAGGCCUGUAAGGCCACAUAAAAACGAAUAACAAUUAAUUCCAUGCAGACAUGGAUAGUGCAGUGUAUGAGGGAGUAAGUGGGAACUUACAGAGAUUAAUAAAACAUAGCCCUCACCUUUGCAGAGCUUAUAGUUAAGCAGAUGGUAGGAACACUGACCAAAAAAAAAAAAAAAAACCAAAAACAAAGUGCUGUAAGAGUAAUAUUAUUGCUUCUCUCUCUCAGAGGAAAGAGGGUUGACAUCUGGUAGAAGAUUUUACAGAGGAGGUGACAUUUGAGAGAAGAAGAGAGGAAAGUCCAGGAAAAUAAAAUAGGUGGUAAUAAGUCACAUAGGUCGGAUGUUGGAAUAUGUAGGGGGUCAUUUGUAAACUUGGUGAGUCAAUCAAGUCAAUGUCUCAAUGACUACAGCAAGUCAUGCAGGCAAGUGAAGUAGACCAGAGCAAGGCAAUAGAGAGUGGUGGGGGGUUUUUGGUAAAGCAGAAAGCAUGUGCCAAUAUGAAGUGGAGAGUCAUUUAGUAAAUACUGACAGAUAAUUCAAAUUUUAGUAAAAACACUGUAUUCACUACACAAAAACACUUAUGAGGACUGGAUACAACUUACAGAUUGCCAGUUUGUGAGCUCUGCUGUAGGGAUACAUUAAGAAAGUCAGAUAGAGACCUUACGUAAAAUGCCUUACUGUCAAAUUGGGGAGUUUGGACUCACUCAAUUUACAUAGCCAUGAAUGGUCCCUGGAUGUUGUUUAGAAAAGGGAUAAAGUGAUAAGAAUUGCUUUGGAAAGAUUAAUCUCAUGGGUGGGACGGCUGGCCUCAAGCAGUCUUGCACAUAGCACGAUCAUGGAGGAGGCUGUUGCAAUAGUUUUGGUGGGCGAUGAGGAGGAUCUAAAUAGUGAUGGGACUGGAAGGAUCUUCCAGUAAAUAGGUAACAGCUGUUAUGGAUCUCGGUGCAAAACAAACUGUAAGGCUACAGCUUGUUUUGUCUGAAGAGUUGGGUUGAUGGUCUCCACUGUGCUCAACACUUAGGGUGAUUGUGCAACCCAUCCAUUGCAUUGGCUGGGAACCUGGCCUUUCCUGCUUUACAAGGUCACCGGCUAAAAACUCCACUUGCUCUUGAGGAAAUAUCCCUUUGAUGAUGUCUAAAUUUUUGAAUGUUCAGUUUUUAAAAUCUGCCUUCUUCCUUCACCAGAAUGACUUGAUUGUCUUUUAAAUUCUAGCUCAGCUGUACCCUUGCUCUGUUUGGGGAGGGCUAUACAGUUCUAUAAAGAUGAGGUUUGUGUCUUAUUUAUAUAAACCAGCAGCAGUUAGUCUGGUAACUAUGUGAUAGAACAAAGGCAAUAGAUAUGUCUUGAACGUAAUAAAAUAGACAAGCGUAUAGUUAAUAUCCAACGAGAUCUUGCAUAUUUGGAGCAGGAGUGGCAUAGGUCAAUGUAUGCUGAGCCAGAUAGGUAUAUAAUGAAUAAAUUAAGCCUGCAAGGGCACACACUUCACAUAAAAGGGUGACCAAAAACUGCCACUCAAGAAUGCAGGCUCAGCCAUGCUGGAUUGCACCAUUUUUUUCAUAAGAGAAGUUGUUAAUCUUUUGUUUUUGCUUAUAAUCUCUUGAUUUUUAUAUUUCCAAAAUUAAAACAAAUACAUAUUGGGUGGACCAAACAAAACAUGUCUGUGGACUAGAUGCAGGUGGGGUGGGAGUGGAAACGUUUUGUGACAUUGCUCUAGAAUAUCAAUUCCAUGUGCAUAGAGCUGUGCUUUACUCAUUUCUUUCAUCAUUAGUUUUGGCUAACCAGAAGACACUCAAUAGAUGGUGUGGACUGGGAUACCAUAGGGGAGAACUAUUCCCAUCUGACUCAAGCCUGCAGUUGUAUGAUUGGAAUUUCAUGGGUCCCCCCACAAAGAAACCUCUUUGAAGGGAUGGCAUCAUUCUCCCUUGGGUAUUGCUAAACACAGAGCAGGUGCCCAGCUGAUGAUUCUACAAUUAAAUUGGGCAGAGCUAUAAUUUUACUUCCAUACAUUUUACUAAAGCACCCAGCAAAAGGAAUGAGAGAAUACUAACAAAGAAACAAACAAUAAUCUCCAUAUCCGUCAGAUUUCUUAAGGGAUUUUAGAGAUUUUCAUGAACAGCAGUAAACAUUCUGGAAAAGGUAUUAGAGAUUAUCUUGUCAACAUUAAUUCAAUGGGUAGAGUGCCAAUGAGUCAGGGAUAUCACUGUAUUAAAAUAAUAUGCAUUAAAUCUAAACAAAUCAAAUAUAUAGUUUUGGUCUAAGUCCAAUACUAUCUUAUCCUUGUCAAGAAUAUAGACAAGAAGUGGCAUGUUCUUAAAGUUCAAGUAAAAGAUGUGUGAAAACAAUGUGAAAACUAUAUUAGUGACUUUUUUUCCCUGCCAAACUGGGAAGAGAGAUCACAAUUAUCACAUUUCAAAGGUGGAAUGUCUUGGUUCAUUUACGUAUCAUUGUUUCAAUGGCAACAGGUUUUGAGACCCAGGGGAUUAAUAAUCAAAUCUACCAAGUUAUUUAGUGGUAGAGUUCUGAGUAAAUCCAAGAUUUUCUAAGUCUCCAAUCCAAAGGCCCCCCUUUCUUUUUAUUGUCAUUUCAAGAAAUACAAGUUAAAAACUGGUCCUCUCUCACUUUACCUGCCCUGCUGUGGGACAAUGUCCCUUUGAAGAAGCACACCCUUCAGAUAUCAAGGCCUUCAUUAAUGACCUUCAUUAAUGGGCUCAGGCUGGGGAACUUGAGUUUCAGAAUGACCCUCGUAAAGACCCGAAGCCAGCUGUAUCUCUUUGAAAAGCAGUUUUAAAGUUUACCCUUCACCUUCUGAUAGGUGACCAAAAUAGACUUUUCUUACCUUAAAACCAUUUCUCUAAAAUCCCAGUGGGAACCCUCAUAGAACUAAUUAACUCAGACCCAUAAGAAAUAAUAUUAGAAUCUGGCUGAGCAUAACAAAAGAUGAAAUUUGAUAUGAGUAAAACACACAUUCGUCCACUUAAUGCAAUUAGAUUUUUUUCUUUUUUUGAAGCACUCUUGCUUGGCUGUUCUUGAAAAAUGUAACUAUUGAAAAAGAAACUGGCAAGAUCUUAAGGACUGGGGCUCAGUUCCUGGCCCCAGUGAUGGGCUUGGAAAUUGCAGCUACAGCAAUUAGAAGUUCCAAUUUCCAGUUCACAGAAGGUCAGGCCAUGGGGUUAUCCUUGGAGCAGUUCUAUCAUUCCUCUGAGGAAAGGUUCCACCAACUUGAGGGAAUCUGGACCAAAUACCAGUGAAUCAGCAUAUAUAUUGUUAAUGGCCACAAGCAGGUUUGACCUUAACAUCAUUUUUGAAAUCUGCAGUGACAGUUGAUCUUUUUGUACUCUGUCUUAUCAAAUGUGAGCCACGAAUUAGCAAGUACCUCUUACUUCCUGCCAUUCUCUAGAUGGGGCUUCUCAAACCUUAACACGCAUCCAAAUCCUGUGGGUAUCGGGUUAAAAUGCAGAUUUUGAUUUAAUUGGUUUGGGGUCAGGGCCCCUGACUCUGCAUUUCUAAAAAGCCCUCAGGUUUCUUUGAGUAGCAAGACUCUAUGUCUAUGUGUAUUUUCACACACUAAGCUUUGUUUUUCCUAAGCAACAUUGAUACAUUCCCCUUAGACAAUUUGUUAAUCAAACCAAUUAGCCCGUUGUAAACAAGAGAUACAAGAGAUUGUUUCUUGCCACAAAACACUUUCCCUAGCCAGUUUUCAAAUCUGGUUUUUCUAAGAGAUAGACUUUUCUGUUCUUUAUUAUUACUGUUGUUUUUGAUAUGUGUGUUGGGGAGGGAGAUCAAAAUCAUUUAUAUUCAUUGAAACCAAUCAUCCACUGAAUGACUUUAAAACACUAAGUGGCCAGUGUCUACUUCAGAACCAGCCAGAAGUAAGCCUUUCUUUGUCUUUAGCUUACACAUCAUGAUGCUUUUGUGCAAUGUUACUGAACCCCCAUCUGACUUAUCUGGUAAGAGAGAUUUUCAUAAUUGCAUGCAAAGCACCGAUAAUCUACAGAAAUGCCAGCCAGAUUUGUGGCACUAAUACCUUUCACAAGUCUUAUGAUUCAUAUGACUCAGGGCCCACAGACUGUCUAACUUAAGGGAAGCCUGAAAUGAUGCUUAUUGUAUGUGUGUCAUUGAUCUUCUCAAAAUUCAUCCUCAAAUAUCUGUUCCAUACUAGGAGGUAAGAAUCAGCAGAAAAGAAGGAAUCUUUGGAGAGCCAAAACCAUCUCUACACCAAAUUGAGAGACUGGAAUUAUAAGGUGAAUGCAAUUAACUGGCAGUCGCAUCCAUGUUGAGAACACAGUCAUCCCUUUAAUAGAGAACAUUUGCUGUGCUUGACAAACUCACAGUGAAAUGGUUGGAUCCAUAGGAAGCAACAUGCUGAAAAUGGUUUCAAUAUGAUCCUGUUUUUUCACUCAAUAGCCAUUGAUUGAGGGUGUCCAGCCAAAAACAAUGAGAAAAUGAGCCAACAAUAGUCUUACCCUUUGACCAUAUUAGAUAAAGUCGCAGCUGAAAUUUGUUAUAUGUUUCAGGAAUAACAAAGCAUCCAUAUGGAACAUAUAUUUGGCAGUGUGGCAGCUGAUGAAACCAGGAAAAUUAGACAAAUUAUCAAUUGCUCGCUCCCAAAUUACCCCAAAAAGAAAUUAGAUCCAUUUUCAGUAGCUUUGCCUUCAAAUUUCUUCAUUCCGUGAGUCACCACUACCUUCUGCCAAACUAAAUAUGUCUAUGAACGGCUGGAAACUUUAAUGGAAAGAAACAUAAAACUCAAACUACGUAGGAAAAUUUAAGCUUCUUCAUGGAAGAUCUUCGUGGAAGACUAGCAAGUUAGGAAUGUGUGAAGACAGACAACACAUCGAUAAUUCCUUUUGUUUGGGGUCACUUCUGAGUUAGAGAGCAAUGCAACAUGCUGGCUUGACUUCAAAUUAAAAUCAGCUUUUUCCUUUAUUUCUUUUGUAAGCCUCCAAUCCCUCAAACUACUAGGGUUUAUUAAGGUACACAGUCCUACAGUCAGGUCGAUCAGAUUUGGGAUAAAGAGACUUCAUGAUGUUAUCCGAUGGAUGGUAGAAAUUAGUAAAUGAAGAUUUCAUGAAUGGCUAAGAGCUUAAUUUUCUAGAAACUAUUCUGAGGUGUUACACCAGAAGAAUAUGACAUAGCAGUUCACUUUGAGUGUAUGGACUGUGGUUAUGAGCACUACCCUCAUAUGAGUUUAUUGAGGUUAAGUUUAAAGGGUCCAGCUGUGCAAAGAGCUCUGGACCAAGCAUGAGGUGACUGAAAUGUAGCCUUGGCUUUCCGACCAGUAGCUCCAGCUUUUCCGACCAACUUUUGUGACCUCAUGCACAUCAUGUUUUUUCUGGACCUUGGUCCUUUCAUCUGGGAAGUGAGAGCACUGGAUCAGAUUGCUCUAUAUGGUUCUUUCUAGCUCUCUAAUUUUUCAAUUCUGCAUUGGCAAAUAGAAACCACUUGUAGUGUUCUCUAAGGGCUGGUGCUCCAGCUGUGAUUCAUACCUUAGCCAGGGAUGUACCAGUUGUUGCAUACCUUCCCUUGCCCAACACUACUCCUUUUAAAUAACUCACAUAGAAGUAGAGAGGAACUGAGUGGAGGUUCUGUUCUCACUUUCAUAAGUAGACCUUAUUGGUGAGGGUCCAGUAGCCUUUGAAAAUUACCUGUUGACUAGAGUUAGCUUAAUCUUGAGCUAGGCAUUUUCAGUGGAGCAGUGGUGAAGGGGUCCUAAGAGGUGACAUCUCAAGUAGACUUGUUGACUUUUUUCUCCUAUAUCUUCAAUCUCAGAUCCAAAAUGAUGUCAGUAGCAAAUUGUAAGUCAUGGUAUAUAUUCUGGGGACUGGAAGAAGGAAAUAGCUUUUGGAAUGACAUUUUCAAUAUCAAAUCAAGAAAUUUUAUUAAGUGCUCCAUACUAGAUGCUGUGAAAAACAGGAGGGGGGAAAACCCUUAAAACUUAGUCUGUGUUCUUCUGAAAAAGCUCAAGAUAAAAUAGAGAGAAUGAAAAUUUACAGUAGCAGCAGUAGCAGUAGCCAGUAUUUGAUUGUGUGGUUCAAAAGUGUUACAACUGCAUCAAAUGUUGUGUCUCUGGGAGCCAUGGGAUGUGAGGCCCCUGGGAUAGAAGAACCACAGGGUCACUGGUCCAUAUGGUGAUAAAACUCACAAUUUUGAUUUCAUCAAAGCCAUUCUCAAACAAAAAAAUUUAAUUCCCCUAAGUCAGGCUGUGAUAAGAAAACAGUUUGGAUGUACAACUUGAGAGUGCGAAGAUACUUUUUCUGAUUAGUGAGUACAUUUCCUCUGCUGAAUGCUGCUUUUUGAGGCUAAGCAGAAAUCACCAAUAGCUGACUUGAGAGAAUAGAAAUCUUUUGCCUAUAUGUGAUAUCUCUCAGUGACUACCCAAUCACCUCGUGGGGAACAAAGUCUUUAAGCAAGCUCAGUGUGGUAAAAUGAUAGGCCCCAUCUCUUUGCUGCUUCUUCCAAUGAGAGGAAAUAGUGAUACUGAGUGAGCAUUCUGAAGAUACAUUAAUUAACUCUUGGGUGGUCUCAAUGUAAAGUGAUAUGUGAACAGGAGGCAGCAACAUGCUUUUCUUUUUUAAUUAAUGAGGUUGAGAAGAUACACUGCCAAAUUAACUUUUCCAGAUUAUAAUUGUUGCCUAAGGUUUUACAGAAAUCAUGGCAUUGAUCUAAUUUGUGAGCCAUGAUUUGGGAUACAAGGCAAAAAGCAUCCAAUUCAGUUCAUCAGUUGUGACUAUUUGGAUGGCCCUUCGUUUCCAAAGCACUUCUACAGCUGAGCCUCAGAACAACUCAGAAGUGUAUUUUUAUUCCCAUUUUACGAUAAGCUAUGUAAGGCUCAAGGACGUUAAGUGACUUCUCCAAGGUCAUAGAACUGUUCAGUAGGGGAGCUGGGUCAGGCCCAAAUGGGGAACUUCUGACUGUUUCUGAGCAAUUGAAUGACUGUGAUAGGACUCAGAUAGGAAAGGCACAAGAAAAAAGGAGAAAAAUUUGGUCAUUACCUUUGAACCAGGCUUUUUCACUUGUGAGGAAUUGAGUUUAUUUAUUAUGUGCCUGACAAGGGAACAGCCACAUAUGUUAAGGUCAAAGACAACUGGCUGGGUGCGGUGGCUCACGCCUGUAAUCCCAGCACUUUGUGAGUCCAAGGCAGGCGGAUCACCUGAGGUCAGGAGUUCGAGACCAACCAGGCCAACAUGGUGAAACCCCGUCUCUACUAAAAAUACAAACAUUAGCCGGGCAAGGUGGUGCAUGCCUGUCAUCCCAGCUACUCGGGAGGCUGAGGCGGGAGAAUUGCUUGAACCUAGGAGACAGAGGUUGCAGUGAGCCGAGAUUGCACCACUGUACUCCAGCCUGGGCAACAGAGCAAGACUCUGUUUCAAAUAAAUAAAUAAAUAAAUAAAUAAAUAAAUAAAUAAAUAAAUAAAUAAAGAUAACCAACUUCUUUUUAAUUUGCUCCAGGUGGUCUCAAUCAAACUUCUAAGCACAGGGUUCUACUCUGAACCAUUUCUGCCUGCCCUUCCUUCUCUUACUAAAAUACAUGAAUUCCAUGGCUAUAAGGCAAGAAAGAAAAGGCCUGCAAAAGGUUUUAAAUAGCCUAUAGGAAGAACUUUUAUUUUUCAGAGAAAAGCUUUCAAAACCACAAUGACUCUUCUCAUGGCUUGCUCCAGGCAAUGGACCAUAGGCUCUGGAUUAAACAGUGACUGAGAAUUGAUGUGUUACUUUCACUCAUGGUUUUCCAAUCUCUCUAAUUGCCUCUCUUCUGGAGACUUGUCUAGUCUAGGAAUCUCGACUCGGGGGUGAUUUUGCCCCCAGGGGUACAUUUGGCAAUGUCUGCAAACAUUCUUGAUGGUCGUGACUGGGAGGAAGGGACUGCUGGCACCUAGUGGAUAGAGGCCAAGUAUGUUACUAGUUAUCGUAUAAUGCACAGGGCAGCUCCCUCUCCCAGCAAAAAAUAGUCUGACCCAAAAUGUCAAUAGUGUUGAGGCUGAAAAACUCUGUUGCCAAUGGCGCUUGGGGAAAGUUGACUGAGGAGUAUGAGAAUAAGGUAAGAUUUUAAAACAGUCUGGGCAUAGUGGCUCAUGACUGUAAAUCCAGCACUUUGGGAGACUGAGGCGGGCAGAUCACUUGAGCCCAGGAAUUUGAGACCAGCAUGGGCAACAUGGUAAAACCCCAUCUCUACAAAAAAAUACAAAAGUUAGCCAGCUGUGGUGGCAUGCGCCUAUGGUCCCAGCUACUGGGGAGGCUGAGGUGGUAGGAGGAUCACUUGAGCCUGGGAGGUUGAGGCUGCAGUGAGCUUUGUUCACACCACUGCACUCUAGCCUGAGCAAUGGACUGAGACCCUGUCUCAAAAAAACAAAAACCAAAAUGAAAAAACCCACAUCACUUGGUCUCAUAAAGAGGUUGGGGAUAGGUUCAGCAAGGAGGGAGAAGAAAAAUCUAUAGUGUCCUUAAAUCCAUUUAAUCCAGAAUUCUAAGUCUUGGUGCUCCUUUCCCCAGUUUUACAGGUAAUCAGGAGUUGGCUGCAUGUGGGUUGGCUCAGUGCAGACUUUCUAAAUCACUUGCCUCUGAUGAAAGACCCAUUUCAUCAGGGUAAAUGGCACAGAGGUAGUACCAUCUUCCCAGCAAUACUCUCCGGAUUGCUUCUAUGUCUGACAAAUUUUCAAAGUUUAAAAGGGUCCCUCAAAGAGCCUUUUAGUACCUCAUAAAGACCAGAGAUGAAAGAAGAAAACCAGAAGAGAUUCAUAGAGUAUUUGCUUGGGAGUCUGCAAAAAAAUCAGGUGUAAAUUUCUUUUGGUUUGGGACAGUCAGAGAAAUCUCCAGAAAAAAAAAGCUGAUCCAACAACUCGUCAGACUGUUUCAGAUUUUCCAGGAGCGCAGCUUUGCUAAGUCAUUCCAAAGCAUUUCUACCAAAGUUGACAUUGGAGAGAGUGACCAUAGAGUCAGAAUAGUAUAAUAUACAAUAAUAGUCAAAUUAUGACCUUAAGUGGACGGAAUGCCCAAAGUACAUGUGAAGGCUUUGCACACCAUAUAGGAGACAGGCAGGGAAUCACUUUAGUUUGUACAAAUUUCCACAGCGAGGGAGCAAAAGUGUUAACCUAAGUCUCAGGUGAAUUUAUUGAAAGGAAGGAACCAACAAGAUCUAUGCUCAUUUGGAUGAAUUUGAUUGGUGGCUUCUCUUGGUCAUUUUAAUUUACCAGGUAACUUUGACACAGACAUGGCUAAUUGUUGCUAAAUGGAGGAAUACUGCAGUGGGAUGAGAAAAGAGAAUCACAGUAUCUUCUCCCUUUGUCACUAAUUAGCUGUGUGACUUUGCACAUGUCACUUCUCUCUGGAUUUCAGUCAGCAUUUGGCUAAUUCUUAUUAUUAUCAUUUUCAUGUACAUGAAUGUAUGGGGUAAAAGUGCAGUUUUGAUACAUGACUAGAUUGCAUAAUAUUGACAAGUUUAUUUUUCAAGGACUUCUAAGUUUGUAGCAAUCUUCAAUUUUAUUUUCUUUGAACAAUCGGGUAGUUUUAAGAGGGAGAGAUUACAGAGAUGUAUACUUAAUCAAUAAUCAGGUUCUUGGGUAUUUCCUCCCCUCUUUUUGACCCCUCUUUUUUUUGGCAUGGAAAUCUUUAUUCCUGCAGAAUGCCUGAGCAUUUAAUGCAAAAGAUUUUAAUUUAAAAGAGGCUGUUUGGUCUCUGCUGGUUGCACAAUUUCUCUUUGUGUCUGUGCUGCUGAUGAUCAAAUAUUGCAAAGCCAUUAAUUACCUUAGGACAAAUGCAGAGGGCCACAUGCAAAGGUUCUGGCCAGUUGCAGAAAGCAAUAUGCCAGAUGUAAAGUAAGUGAAGGGUUUUUCUUGGUAUUUAAGGUUCAGUGAAAAAGUAAGAGGGGCAGCUAUGCCAAGAAUGAAAAGCUAGAGCUUGCCAAGUGCUUCUUUAAGUGGCUUUAGCCAAUGUGAGACUAAACAAUGCAUUAAAUAGGCAUACAACUUACUGCAGUUAGGGAAUUGCUUGUCAAAUAACACCUCUUUGCUAUGUUUUAAACAUGAUCUCAUGUAUAGAUAAAGACAAACAAAAUGUUGUGUUGUCAUCUCCUUAGUCUAACAGCUAAUAAGGCCUGGGGGUUUGAACUUUCCAGGCAACCUAAAGUAAUUCUUUGGGAUGUCUCAUGGAGAGGUGUACGAUGGAACUCUGCCAGGGCGGCAGCUCAAUGCGAAAACGAUUUUUUGCCACCAUGGGUUGUCAAAGAUGUCUGGCUGCACAAAAGAGCAAAGCCCUUGCAGGCUGUUAUCGAGAACAAUGAGACAUCUCCUUGGGAGAGACCUUGUGGCUAUUUUCACUGUGUCUGAAUCUGUGGUGUGGGCUGUAAAACCAGAAGGAAGGCUGCUGAAGAGAUGAAGUCAGCUCUAAUGGAGAUCUUGGGCAAUGAUGGCACGACACAAGAUGUCUGGUCAAAGUAUUGGAGGCCCAUUGAAUUAGCAGAAUGCCAAAAUUCUCUCCUGGAUCCAAAAUGUCUCCCCUACCAGCCACUGGAGAUAGGAUACAUUUCAAUACCAAUGGUCUUCAAACAGCUCGUUGAGUAAUACCAGCAAAGGUGGCGGUCUUGCAUCCCAACCACUGGCUGCUCCCACAUCUCCUUUAUUUUGGGGAAGUUUCUUCCUGCCUGGAUUAUGGUGUCUGUGACCACCUCCCAUUACUACGACUCUAAUAGCACCCCAAGAAAAAGUUUGGUCCAAUUAAACAGCAUUUUUUUAGUAGGUCUUUGAGAAAGACCAAUUAAACAAAUAGUUGCAAGUAAUGAAGCACUUGAGGUUUGCAGGAAGAGGAAGAAGAUUUGAAGUUGGGCAGAAGAGAAGCUCCCCAGAUCCUACUGCAUAUCCUGGUGUAUACAGGUGAGUUGCAGUGUUCUGUCUGAAUUCAGUCUGUGAAGGGUCUUGUACAGCAGCAGCCUCUAAUUAGCCUCUUCUAAAAGAAGACUUUUCUUGUGCAUCCUGAGGAAGUUUUCUUAGAAUUUCCUCAAUUUUUCCAGAAGCUAAAAUAUAGGGUCAUUACAUAGAUAUCUCUCUCAUGCCUCUUUUCAAGAAAGUGUUCAAAAUCAAUUUAGUCACCCUGGGAUUCUUGCUCCUUAUCUCCCAGAAGACUACUGGGAUUUUGGAAGCAUCUCCCUAUGCUACACACUUCUUGGAGGCAAGAGAACCUAGCUUUGUUUCUGGAACCAUUCAGUGGGGUAAGUUACAAAAUGUUCAUGUCUCACAUUUCUCAUUUGUCCCAUGAAGCAAUAAUCUUUGCCCACCAAAAGUGGAGUCAAGACAAAGUGAGAGAGCUGAUACAACUGGAUUUUGAAAAAGUAAAUAUACUAGAUAAACAUAACAUUCUUCAUGUGAUUAUUACUAAUACUACUACAUAAUUCUUACUACUCAUAAUAGGUUUUUAAUCAGCUGCCGCCAAGGAGAGAAAAUGAGUGUGUAAUUAAUUGGGCCGUUCAUAUACCUCAGCAUUGGCAAUAGAUUCUGCAAUUGAUCUCAGAAGAGAAUAAUUAAGUGUAAUAGCUCACAUAUGUGGUGCUUACUGUGUGCCAGGCAAUAUUCUAAGUUAACAUAUUCCAAUAUAAUAACUAAUUUAAUCCUAACACCAACUCUAUAAGGCAGGCCCCAUUUUACAGAUGAGAAAAUUGAGGAACAAACAGGUUAAAUAACUUGCUCAAGAUCACUCACCAAGUAAGUUGCAGAGCUGGGGUUCAAACCUGAAGUGUUUGGCAAUAGAGGCCAUGCCCUUGGUCUUGAACCCUUCGCUCUCCUGUUUAUAACUCUCCAUCAGGAGGGAGAUGGUCUUGAAGGGCAUUAGCAUGUCAGAAAAAAAUGCAAAUUAUUUUCUAAUUUUGCAUCAUUUUCUUAGUGGUCCUAUGGUUGCAGAAACUGGUCCUUUACUAUUUAAAGACAGGAACAAGCAUUUGGGGUCAAUAUAAAAACACAUUGCUUCUCUUUAAUAAUAUCUGUAGCCUAUUAGCUUAGUGGUACUAAUGAGGCCAGGGUCAUAAGGUCAAACCCCACAUGUACCAAUUAGUUUCAAAGAGAAAAGCUUUCCCACAGCUAGUGACUGUACCCCUAACUUUGACCAGCUGUCACACAGAUGCAUAGCAGGCAGUCUAAGGGGUACCAAUAAAAGGAAUGAAAAUGAUGCAACUCAAAUCCAGCCCCACUCAAAACAAUGCUAAUGGUGGGUGAGUGUGAUGUCAAAUUCACCAAUUAUACACUCUCUUCUUUAAUUGAAAAGGUAAUAGGCUGGGAAGAGGCUUUUGGUGAAGGUUUAGAAACCUGUAGAUUCUUAUUUGUCCCCUCUAAUUUAAUAAAGGGCAUCUAAAAAUGUACAUACUCACUUGACCUCACAGUCAGGAGAGUGAGAGAAUGUAAAGAUGAGAACUGUCAGUGGGUCUAUCCUAACAAAGAAAAAUGACAGUCUGUUUUCAUGAAGCGUGUGCUUCUUUGGCUCCUUAGUCCAAAAGACCUGCAUGUAUUUGGUCAUAUCUAAGCUUCUAUUCCAUCCCCGAGGGGUUGAAAUCCAGCUUAAAGCAAAACAAAACGAAGAAUCUGGCUCCUCUUACUUUAACUGGGUGGAAUCUCCUAUCUCUGGGGACCAACAGAAACUAUGUAAAUAAGAUAAAAGAGACUAAAUGUUAUUUGGUCACUACUUAAAUCCAAGGUUGUUCUUUCUUGAAUAGCACCAGAGCUUUGUUAAAUACAACCUAGACUAUGAGUCUGUUAAAGCUAGAAGAGGUCAUUUAUUUUAAUAAAAUUCCCUUGUUCUAUGGACAAGGACGUUUAGACCCAGGAAGUUUAAAUGCCUGCCAAACUCCUACAACUAAUGAACGACAGGUCUGGGAGUAGUUUUCUGGGCAGUAUAUAUCAAAGGAAAGAAGCUUGACUUAAUAAUAAUAACCUAGAUCUAAGAAGGUUGUUGCAAUCAAUAACAAUGAAAGUUCAUUGUAAAGUUUCACUUAAAGCUCUUACAAAACAGUCUGUUUUAACCCAUGAAGAAUGCCAUUCGUUUAUUCAGACCUGUUCUUAAUAACUAUACAUUGGAAGUAUGUUUUACAAAAGCUAUAAAUCCUGAAGAGCUGAAAGAAUAUCCAACUUGGCUUUUCUAAUUGAUUUACUUCUCCAUUUCCCCAGACCGCCAAGGUAAAGCAUAUACAGUUUAUUUAAGGGACUGUUUAUAGACUCUUAAAACUUAAAAAGACCCCAGAAACUCUCUUUCUUUCAGUUGCUCUUAAUUGAAACCAUCCAAGAUGGUUGGUUGUCUGUCAAUUUUUUAAGAAUCUCCAAGGAGAGAAAUUCCACAGGCCCAUAGCAGCAUGUUAAAAUGGUUAAUCACCAUGGCUGUCAAAAAUUAUAUCUAUGGUAAGCUUCACUUCUCCUAUUUCAUUUGAAGCUCUUUUUCUCUUGGUGUUUUUCAUGCAAAAUGAGGUUGUAAUGAGCCACCCUUUAUAAGGGCUCCAUCAAUCUAGUAAGAAAAUCGCUAGCUCCUUCCCAAUGUGCUUUCAUCUCCAUUAUGCCACCAUUUUUCUCACAGGACUGCAAGAACACAAGGCUGGCUGAUAGGCUCUCCUAUCUUCCCUAUGAUGCAUAGGAAAGAAUGAGUAAUUAGCUCUUCAUUGGGUCUUUCAUUUCAUAAAAUGUCUAGGGAAGCUGCAUUAAUUAUACAUGAACUGUUCCAUUUAUGAUGGGAUAAUGUUCACAAACAGAUAAUCUAGAAGGUUGCUUUCACUUGCUGUAGUGGAACUUGGGCUUGAAGGGGAAUAUGAGCUCAAUUCACAUCAUUGGGUCAAUCUACACACAGUAAGCAUUACAAAAUAUUUUAUUCAGAACAGUUCUAAUAGAGUUAAAAAAAAACUCUCCUUGUUAAAUAUUGCAGAUUGACAAAAAUGAUAGAUAUGGAGGCAAUUUUCUUUUAGAUGUUUGAAUUUCAAACUAAAAUCAGAAACUGCCUUCUACUACUAAAAAAAUUGUACUUCCAAAAUGGAUUUGAAGCAGUUUAAAAUAAAAGUCACAGCCACAAUAAAACUUUGAAAAUAAGUGUAAAGAGAAUAAUAGGAGUCAACUGACAGUGUAUAGAGGUGGGGAAGAAUGCUUCCCUCUAAAAAGUAUUUCAAAGACUAUGUGCUUAGAGCUGACUUCUCCACACACAGUAAAUCUCAGCGGAUGAAAAGGAAACUGAAUGAAAUUUGUUGACAACAAUUGAUGCCUGUAGGAAUAAUUGGCUCAGACACAAAACAGACAUCAAUGUAGCCUGGGGAUGACCAAAAUGCAGCAGCCUCUAAGUCAUUGUUAGUAUAUAUUUUUUCAGUUCAAAAAAAAAUAAAAGCAGUUUUAUUAAAUAACUAGAUAACCAUGAGGUGAGAAGUAUUGUCCACAGUACUUGACAACCUUAAUUCUUGAUGGUUCUUAAGACCAAGAUCCCAAACAAGUAAUUCCAUUCUAUUCGAUUGGAUUCAACUAGACUCAAUUCAAUUCAAUUCAAUCCUGUCAGUUCAACAAUCAAAUAUGGGCAGCUACUAUAGCAUCCAGGCUAUGAGCUAGACACUUGGAUUCAAAUGUAAAUAAAUAUGUCCUUUGGCAUCAAGAAGCCCAUUGACAGGGUAUUAUUCUUGGCAGGGUAGACCAAAAUAUUCAAGAAAAACAUAAAGGAUAUAAUUUAUUCUCCAUGGUUAUUUUUCUCUUAUGACAAUAAUACUUAGUUGCAUUUUUCUUUUACCACUCAACUGUAAGCCCCUUGAAAACAAGGUCAAUCUCUCAUUCAUUUCUAGGCAUCUCAUUCAUAUCUCAUUCAAUGCUUACACAUAACAGAUGCUCCAUCAAUGUUUUGAAUUACAUGAAAAUAAUCUAAAUGGACUAAUUUCUUUUGGGCAAAUAAGAUUGUCCAGUUGACUAGAAAGUUAGCAAGAAUACUUUUGGGCAUGAAGGUAUGUUGGACACUUCUGUGCAUGAGGGUAUGUCGGAUUAACAUAAGUCAUGGAAUUCUAUAAGGCAAAACUCAUGACACACAUAUUUUCAAUGACAAUACUGACAAGAACAUAUGAUUUACAAAGCCACUUUCUAGCUAAAGUCAUAUAGUAAGAAUCAAGAUUUGCUAUAUAUAACAUUUCCUUUUCAAGUUAUUGAGAUACAAUUUUUAAAAAUUUGCUGAAAUUUGAUUGUUGCAGUAACAGAAUAAGAGAACCUGGAAAUUGGUUUCCAUUUUAGUUGUCCAAUAUCCUUAAGUGUCUGUGCAAACACUUAUAAGUAUCAUACAGUUACUUAGGAACAAUCAUUUUUUCCAUUCUAAUUUUUCAUCAUUUAAUGCAAACAUCAUAGGCAUAGAAAGAUCCAGUUUUCAUGCACUGUGCAUGGAAAUUCUGGAGCAAUGUCGUGUUGAACAUCACAAUUCAACCUGGCACGUAACAGAGGACACUUCUAGGCUUGGCAAUUACCUAGUGAACUGGAUCAAAGGAAAUUGCACAAAUGGAUUAUCAAGGAAAAAAAAAGUCCCCUUGGGCAUAAUAAGUGAGAACCACUUUUUCAUUUCUUUAAAAAAUGAGGAUCAGUAGCUGCAAAUUAUAGAAUAAUUAUGACCCACUGUUGGAUCAUGUGAUGUCCCACAGUUAUCUUCCACAGGAUAUUUUAAAGGUAAAACAAGUCUGCUAUUGGAAAAUCACUCACCCAAUGCACUCAUUCAUCUGCUCUGCAACAGAGAACUGGAUAGAAUUGCUUUAUUGCCAGAAAAAUAAAUGAGUUCGUUCAAUUAAAGGACUGGCUGGAAGCAAAUAGUGGGAAUUUGCCUAUUCAAAUAGUAGAAGGCACUUCUGAUUCUUUGUCACUAGUGAUUUAAAAACUAUUUGUUGCCAAAUCCACUGUAAGUACUGAUCGCCAAUACCCUCACAAGCCUCUUUCUUCCCAUCUCCCUUACUGAUCUCCAGACUGGUAUACACAGGCCACCCUCUACCCUGCCAGUCAUACACACACAUACCCCACCUGCCUAGAGAGAGGCUGACAUUUGGGAAGGAUGAGAGAGACUUCAAGUGUGUGAGUCAUCACAGGAGCUAUUCAAAGCAUAGUGGGUAACUGAGGUAAGCUGUCUACACUGGAGUGAUAUGAACCUUUAAGAAUGACUCAUGCUCAGUUUCCUGGAACUCUCUAAAACUCCAAAGAAUUAUAAGGAACAAGCAUCUGGCUUUAAAUCUUUCUCUGUCCUAUAAUAUACAGUGAGAUAGAUGCAUGGGAGCUAGAUUCUUUAAGUGAUCAGUUCCCACAGGAAUCAUUGACUUUUGCUUGUGUGUAUUAUUUAUACGCCUUGACUUGGCUGUCUACUUUUUACUGGCUGUUGACUUUCUAAUCACCUAAGAGCUAUUUAAGAGAUAAGUGAUUCUGUACUUGUCAGAGACCCUUUUCCAGAUGGUGAUAUCAUUGAUGGGUCCCGGAGAAGAACUAUGCCAAAAGAGAGCAACAACAAAAAAAUCAAGGUCAAGUGGCAUAGAGGGCAAAUCAGUAUGGCAUUUCAGUUUGCAUUUAGAGACAGUCUGUGUAUUUGCAAACAGGCCUGCCUUUAAGGGGAGUUAACCUUCUGUCUGUUCAUGGUGAUUUCAUAUUGAAUGGAGACAUCUAGGAUAUGCCCUUUAAUAUUUUUUUUCCCAGAUCCACAUGACUGGAGAGUCCUUACUAUUUUACUCCAAAUCACAUAGCACUUAAAGCAGCCCUGCAUGUGUUCCAUAUGUUUAUAUGUGCGCCCAUAGGUUUUGAAAACAAAAACAUCAAUACCUCAGGGUUAUUUUGUCCUGUCCUUUCAUUGAAAGGAAUGGAAUAGUGAGGUGGAUCAUAAUAGUUGAAAGAAGGCUUAGCAGGAAGUAGUUAAAGACGAAUUGUUAAGGAGGAAAAUUCCAUCCUAGAUCUGCAAAACCUGCCAAAGUCCCGCCAAAACACUAUGCUUACUUUAAGGUGAGGAAUCUCAGAGGCCUAGGAUGGCUGCCAGAUACGGGCACUCAUUCAGUUAUUCACACACUCCCUGCGGUUGUAAAUCCACAGAGCUGUACACUUUAGACUUGAGCAGCACAUUGAGAGGGAGGGCUACUUACUGAAAUAAAAGCCCCUGUCUCCACACACGAACUGAAGAGCAUCCACCAGCUCAGCCCCGCAGAGCGUCUCCGGUCCAGCCGUGGCAGAGCUGGUGAAGGUGAGCAGGCACAGCGCCAGGUAGAAGAGAUGCGAGGAGGACAUGGUGUGCAUCUUCACCUGCCCAAGAAACAGAGGGAGGGUCAGGUUUCCUCCUUGAUCCUUGCAAGGGGAGUGGGGUGGGACAGAAGUGCAUUGACUCCCACGAUUCCACGACUGUCAUUAAUCAGGACUACCCAGCACAGAAGCCAAUAGAGUACAUGAGAACCCAGAGGGAGUUGUGGAUGGAGCGUGUCUCGGCAUCCAACAACCUGUGUUUAUUCCCCUGGCUACUGUGGAUCUUUGGAGGAGUCCUCCCUGAACCCUUUCUUUAUGGGUUCCUAUUUCAAUGAAUUGAGACAAAAUAUCUAGAAACGUUUACUACGGAAAUGAAAGAUGCUAUUAUUACAGUGGGAUCCCAUAUCACUCUGAGACCCUGGUAGAACUUUUGAAUUAUCAAAGGUUAAAUUGUGCUCAGUACAGAUUUGGGGCCAAAUAAGUUUUGUUAAUUUAAAUUCUCUCAAUAUUGGCCAUCCAUAGAUGGUAUAUGCAUUCAUUAUUGAGCAGAAUAUUUUUAACCAAAACAUCAUUCCCUAUUUUUGACUAAAAAUAAUUUACUAUGGCCAAAAAAUGGCUUUUGACAAUACUAUAUAUCAUCACAGGGUUUUGUUUUUGUUUUGUUUCCUCAAUAUGAGAGAGAGAGAGAGAGAGAGAGAGAGAGAGAGACUGAUUCCUUACCUGGGGCAUAUCAGCAGUUGACACAACCACAAAUAGAAGAAAAUAACAGAAACAGAAAAAAAUAUGAGAAUCGAAGAAUGAAAUUGGCUCAAAUAGAAACCACUCCUGUAUUCUAAAGUCCCUGGCCUCAAGUCCAAUAUCAAAUCAACACGUGUUGAGAAUCCCUUCUGUGUAUAGGGCACUGGGCUCAAACUGGCAAAAAUCUUUUAUUUUAUUUUUAGUCACAGGAAUUAUGGCUUCAUCUCUUGGAGGGACUUAUGUGUCACUGUAUCUAUUUUAUAGCAAAAUAUACCAAGGGACCCCUGGUUGGCAUGACUUAGUCAAUGAUAGACUGCCAAACGGCAGCCUUGCCAAAAGCAGCAGUCCUGUGGCUCAAGUCUUCAUCCUCACUCUAAGUAGUAGAAACCAUGCUAAGAUGAUCAUUAAGUUUUUCCAUAUUGUUACUUGUGGCACAAAGAUGUGGCUUUUUCCAAGAAGCCUCUCAAGGUGAGUGGCUUCACUUCUCUCAGAUGCAUCUACUUUCAGCAUCAUGGGAAGAGUCCCUGACAGGGUGUUAGGUGAGGGGCGCUAUUAAAAGGGUUGUGGAGUCAUGCUGGAAGCUAUAAUUAUAAGAAGAGCAUUUUUUUUGAACCUCAGAGUAGUGGCAGGUCCAUUCAACCCCAUCACUUUUGGAGAAACAGUCAUUUAUUUUCUGACUACCCUCCUUGCCCUCCAUGGACUCUCAAUUUAGUGGCUCUAUAUCAGUGGCAAAAUUUUCCCCAUCAUUCUAAUGAUGAUUUCCAUUUUUUGUAGUCAGACCUUCACCUCAGCAACUGAGGAAAAAAAAAAAAAACCAAAACCCCUGUCUCUCGUUAACAAAAUAUAAAUAUUCAGUUAAUGGUUGUAAAGCAGUUGAAGAUGAAAAGCGCCCUCUAUUUGCAAAUGAUCAUAAAUAAUGGACAUAAAAUAGAAGAGGAGGUAAAAGCUCAACUGAACAUUUACUGCAUUUUUCUCAACAAGAUCUCCGCAUGGAAAUCUUCCACCCCCUACAUAGCCCAAAACACUGGGACUGGAAGAAGCAUGUUAUCAUCCAGUUCUCAUUUUUUUUUUUUUUUGGUUGUAAAAUUAGUGGGGUUUUCCUGUUCAAUAUUUCCAUUGGAAACCUCAACAAAUCCAACCCACCUGGACCUCGUGGCAUUUUUCAAAAGAACAAACCUGUGAUUGAUCUUGCAGAGCAUACCCCCACACUGCGGGAAUGGGCCAGUUCUAGAAAGUAUGUUAUUCUACCGAAUCCUAUUUCUCCACCCCUCCCUUCUUUGUUGCGUUCAUAGCAAUGCUGAAGGCUAAGCACCUGCAACUGUAGAUGCCUUCAAGUUCUUCAGUUUUUGUGAAAUCCAGGGAAAAAAAUUACUCAAGUUAUAGCCUUAGUGAAUUUCAAACUUCAUUAGAUGUCAAAACUAUAUUUUUAAUAGUUCUAGUAUAACACAUUUAAGUGCAGCGAUACAUAUAAGUCUCUGGAACUUAAGAAUUUAAGAUUUUUUUUAAAUAGAUUUCUCUUUUUCUUUUUUUUUUUUUUUGCUGAGUUAUAUUGUCAGAUAAAUCUCAGUACUUACAGUUCUAGGACAAGACAGAACCUCUAGUGCAUUUUCCUUUAGUGUAGGGAACAGUCCAGUACACCCACAGAGAACCAGAGAAUUUUAUGUUCCCACAAAUGAAAACAAUACCGAACUUGCUUAGGAGUUUAAAGUGUGAAACAAGUGGUCCCAUAUGUUCAUUAUUUCCUUGGCCUUUUAUUUUGCCAAACACAAAAGAAAUCAAUAGAGAGAAAGGAAAGAUAUGAUAGAAAAAAAAGGGAAGAAUCAGAAAGACAUGAGAAAAAAAGAAAAAAAAAUCAGAAAACACUUUCUCAAAAAUCAUUCACAAACCCAAAUUUUAAAAGUUCUUUUUUUUUUAAUCUUAGAUAAAUGGAAUAUUAAUUGAUUCCAGAUGUCUGGGCCACAAUGAAAAUGCCCUGUAAAAUUUGAGGGCAACAGUCAUAAGAAAAUACUCACUGUAGGUGUAAUCAUUUUUGUUUGUUCCAGGUCUUUUACAGCAGGUCAGGGUGGGUAUUAUGAGGCCGAUGUGAAUAGAAAACUGAAGUCUUAAAAACAUGUGCUGCUUUGUGGGUGGGGUUUGUGAAAGCAUCUAGUUACAUUUGGACACCCAGGCAGGUAUGCUAUUAUGAGCCUGGGUAAACUGCCUUUUGUCCAUUGAAACAAUGAACAAAUUGCACAGCUGGGAUUUAAGUCAAUCUUUUCCCCCCAGUCAAGCCACCUAUUUCCAUUGUAUGCCUAUUGUAGCAGCCCAGAUAGUGACCCAAGCUCCAGUCCACUCCCUUACUCCCUUCCCCCGACUCACUCACUUGGAAAUACCUUGAGAGUCAGAGUACAAUCAGCUGGUGAGCUCUGCCUCUGGGCAGGACACCUUUACCCACUGAAUUACAUGUGAAAGACCACGCAGCUCCCUCAAACCACUUCCUGCUUCAAGUACAGAAAAAAGUAACAACUUAUUAAGAGCUCCACUUCUGAAGUGUUCAGCAUACACAGCAUGAAAAGUGCAUUUGGAAACAAUUUUCUUAACUUGUAAUUAAUGCAGAGAUAACGCUCCACAGCCUCUUUUAUGAUCCCCUAAGUAAGGAGACAAAAACUCCAGCUGCUAGAUCACAUAGUAUGUAUGCACAGUGACGUCAUUUCUUUGAAAGCAAGGUGGCCUGCAUGUGUUGGCAUCUCAGGAACAGCAGAAUCAGGUGCCUGACAAGGGUGUAUCUUUAACUCCUGGAGCCACUUACUUGACUAGGGAAAGUCGUAGUGGUGAAGUGUUUGAAAGCAGCAACUGAAUGCUGCACUAAGUGGCAGAGACGUCUUAUGAAUUGAGCCCUCAGGCAAUUGAAUCGGUGGAGCCAGUGACAGCAGCUUAAAAGCGCUUGCAAAUUGAAAAAAAAACACAAGUCUUGAAGGAUAUAAUUUUGCUGAGAAUGGAAACUAGAACUACGGCCAGCAAUCGGAAACGAGAAGUCGGUGCACUGACAGCAGCAGCCAGAUUUACCUAAAGGGACUUCACGACACUGAAUAUAAAAUCAGAGUUUUAUAACACAGAACCCCAAGUCCAAACUUUGCCCAUGAAAGUCCUCUUCUAAACAGAAAAGUUGGGCAAGCAGCUCUUAGAAAGUUUCUGCUUUCCAUAUACAGUAUGUAUUUGUUUAAAUUAUACAAAUAUGCAAGGUCAGCAAGAGUUGUCAAGGAGUUCUUUUUUGGAAGAACAAAUUACACUUUACUCUAACUUUAACACUCUCUCUGGGCAUAAGUGCAGAGUUCCGGGACCUUAGCUCCAAAGAUCAUAUUUAAAAGCUUUAAUAUCAUCUAAAAUACAACCCUUCAUAUAUAGCAUGCCUUGUAAAUAAAGUCCUGAUGAGUUACACACACAGAGACACAUACACACAGAGACACAUACACACAUGCAAAAGAACAUGGUCUUAAAAAUAAAACAUCUGCACCUGCAAAAGAAAAAAAAAAUCCCCAAGUUCAUAUCCAUGCUCUAUAGCCCUUAGCCAUAGAGAGGAUUUAAAGGAAUCUUCUGUAAUGACACCACGGAAGCCCUGCAGAAGUGGAGGAUUUAGCAUAAGUACCUUGCAAUAGUUUCUACUCAUACAGAUAUCUGUGCAAAUGCAUCCAUCUCCCCGAGCUAUUUUUCAGAUUCCACAGAAUUGCAUAUUCAGCAAUUUAUAAAUAACUCUCGGUUCCGAAACAAUGAAAAUUUUAAAGUGAAGAACAGUUCUAGGCAGAAGCAAACAGUACACAAUUUAAAUAGAAUUCCCCAAUGACUUCAAAGAGUAAGAAAUAUUUACCUUCAAGAAAUCACAAAAGCAGCACUUAAAUAAUUGGGUUGGAAGACUGCUGAUUUUUCCCAUUGCUUCUGAAGUACAAAGUCUGAAAAUGAAUUGGUUAGCAGGAAUAAUGAAGCAAAAAGAAAUCCAGAGAGAUGGGAGAUGUUGAGAGCAAUGUCACAUUUCAAUUUUGAGGACUUUAUUCCAUUGCGCAGGCUCUAUCUGCUCUGAAUUUAGCAGUGACAGUGAGAUUUAGCAAACAGAAGAGGGAUUUAGAGAAAAUCCUCACAUUUAUCUACAAAACACAGACACUGUAGACAGGAAACAGCUGGGGGAACAUUUGCCUUCUCUCUCUCUCCCUCUUCUGGCAAAGUUAUUGAGUAAGGACUUUUUUGGGCAUGGUGACAAAUAACAUCAUACCUUUGCAUUUUAAAACUAGAGCACAGAAGCAUUUUUUUCCCUUAAAAGAAUGUGUGUUAGUGACAGGGUUCGCAGACAUUAAAAUACUUAUGCUGCCAUAGAAAAUAAGGAUCUGUUUUCUGAUUAACUUUCUGCUGGGCAUGAAGACACAAACGUCUGCUAAUACACCUUACCAGUAUUAAAGGAAUAUGGGGGAUGGGAGAGCAAUUUUAGAUUCUAGAGCAAAUGCAUUAUUUAAAACAAAAAAAGAAAGAAAGGACGAUAAGACCCUCUCCAGCAAACUCUACAAUUUUAACCCUGAAGUGACUGGGGUAAAGUAGAUUGGAAGACAGCACUCGGGUGACCCCUUGUCCCAGUUGCCAAGUGAGAGGUGUGAUCUCAUUUCCUAGAACCUAUGGAGGGGCAGGCAGCAUUGGAUUGGUCCCUUUAGGGCACUGUCUCAUACUUUUUCUCCUGCGAUGAGGCAAAGACUAUGCCGAGCUGUAAAACCCAACUGAAAUAGAACAUUUUUCUUUAUUCUUCUACUAGGCUGCCUGUCACUGUCCCCUCCCCACCCCACCACUCUGGGAGAAGGGUACCUGGGGGGCAAACAAUUUUCCUGUUGUUUGAAUUUUCCAUAUAACUCAAACCUGUGUGUGUGUGUGUGUGUGUGUGUGUGUGUGUGUGUGUGUAUGACAGAGGGAGUCUGUGUGCCAGAGUGUGUUUUCUUUCUCUGAUUUUUGUGUAUUCUAAAUAACACCAGCUGGCUAGCAAUACCCUCUCGAGGGUUAUGAUGUCAUUCAAAUCCCUCAACUGGGUGACUGGCCGGCAACAUGGUCCAAGCCAGCUGUUUUGCUAUUUAUAAUGUACACUUGCCUUUGCCAUUGAGAAUUCAGUUCUGAUCUUUUGUCGAUACAGUUUGUACCUAUUUCCCUUUGGUUUUGUGAAGCAGUAGAUAAGAAAGUGAAUUAUAAAAUAAGGUUGCAAAAGCCCAGAGCAGACAUACCUCUUUCCCUAGAGAGCUCUCCAGGCCUGGUUUCCCAGGAGUGGUGGAAAUAACCUGGACCUUGAAUUUUUUCUUUUUUUUUUUUUCCACAUGACUCUCAGGGGACUGACACAUCAACUGAAAACACAGUUCUGCUUGAAAUCCUACUCUGGCUCUUUGUGUUAUCCUGGGGCCAGAAAUUUGUUUGUAGAAGUGGGUGCCCUAACAAAAAACAAACAAACCUGCUUUGUUUGGAAGGGGGUUGGGUUUGUUUGAGUCUUCUGUGUGGUUAAUACAUUGUAGCAAUGUUUACCUUUCAGAAAUCAAAGUUAGAAAUCUGGAAUUAUGUUGUGUCAAUGGUGCACUAUGUUCAGCAACAUUUUGUGAGCUCUACUAUGUGCCCAACUACAACAUCCCUAGGAAAACAAAGAGGAAUAAGAUAUGGUCAAGUCCCUUCAGGGGCUUUCAGCUGAAUGUCAGAGACAAAGAGGAAAACUUCACAGUCAUAUGAUGGGCAUGUGCUCUUUUAAAAACAUGAACAGUGCACAAUGAGAGGGAGUGACACAUUCUCUGGGAAGACAGGGGAGUAAAAUCUUUUGGAAAAUCCAAAAUGAGGGAGGCAGAUUGUGUCAUGAGAGGCUUUGGGGUACCAUGUUGGGAAAUUUCAGUGGGUGGGAUUUGACCCAAAGAGCACACUAAGAGGUAUCAUCAAGAGGUGGCCUAGUAGGUGGCCCUGGAUUAUUCUUAAUGCAGGGAUUAUCCACAUGUGCAGAUGUGUGAGUAAUCCCUGCAUUUAAUAAUAAUCCGUGGCUUCCUUUAAUAAGCUCUCUUUGUACACUUGAUUUGUGACAAAUCUUUUUCUUUUCUGCAGUUUUUGUGGAUCACACCCUUUCUGAAAAAUGUCUAUUCUCUUACAGACUUUGAGGAUGUAGAUUGUAUAAAACAAUAGAGCUGAUCUCACCUGUCUUCCAGAUGAGAAAAAACCUCUUUAACCAAGUUUGGAGAGUCAGAUACUGGCUGGAGUCUUGGUGCUAAGUUCUUGUUCCAACAUUGGACACCAUUACAGGUGAAGGCCAGGACUUUGUUUAACCCCUUCCCACUGCAGUUUUAGCAUACUUUAAUUGUUCCAAGAUGUCCUAGAAGCUAACUAUAUGUCUCCAAGUCUAUCACCCAUUUUGAUGUUCUCUCUUGGCAUGCUCGGUGCACAGAUAUAACCUUAUCCACAAGCAUUUCAUAUGAAAGGCUGUUUUGGGGACAGAUGCUGUACUCCAGCGAUAUUGACACACUGACUCACAGUCUCUCGGUUUUGUAACCCCAAUUACCCUUAAAGGAUAAUUAGGUUUUAAUUUAUGUCCUAGUUUUUAUGUCACAAUCAAAGAAAACUGAAAUUUCAGUGAGUCGUAAUUGUCAUCAGCUGUGCUUUGGAAACAUUCCAAUGAGAGCUAUCAGUUUCCAAUGGGGGAAGCAAUUUCCUGAGGUGAUUAAUGUAUAUUUCAAUUUGGAGAAUGGUCUAUAUUUUUGGACAGGGUGAGCCAGCAAUGGAUCAGGGCAAUAAUUCCUAGAGAAAAGGUCAUUUUCUUGGCUAAUUCCAGGAGUCAAUAUGAAAAUGAAAGAGCAAUAAACAUGCCACCAGAUUACUUUUUAAUGGCUAAGUGAUGUACCUGUUUAGGAGUAAAAGAAAUGAAUGCACCUAUUACUACAAAUCCAAGGUAGUAGUAAAUCUAAAGCCCAAGAGGAGUUCAGGUUAUGAAGUCCCAUUGGAGAGAAACAUCUAGGGUCAUUAUAAAAGUAUGGAAUGAUUAUGUAGUCUCCUGCCUGCAAAAAUCUGACAGUGAGAUAUGGCCACCAAAAUAGCUAACCGCAAGGAUGUGCUUAUCAUAAGAACAUCCACUCCUGGAAAUUCAGAGAUUCACAGUUUCACCUUUUGCAUGUGUAAUGCCUGUGGGAUAUAAAUAACUCUCCCCUAAAGCCUUCUUCUUGAGUAGCAUAUUUGCAUAAAGCUACAGCCUCAGAAAACUUCUGACACCUUUCGCACACACACAGAAAAAAUUGUUCAUUUCCUUAAAGGGUGAGCUGGCUAAGGUACACAGAAAGCAGGGGUGGGGUGGGCAAGGAGGCCCUCCCUGUCUUCCCCCCAACUUUUUUUUUCUUCUCAAGCCAUGUUCCCAGUCUUUCCUGUGUUAACUGGAGAGGCGUUCAUCCAAAAGGCAAAAAUGGACUGUUUGGUGUUGGAGGCUGAGCAGAGGUGGGCAAAAAGGAACAGAAGGAGAGUAACUGGUGAAGAAGGAGCAAAGAGUGAGGCACAAAAUGAAGUCUCACCAUGUUGCCCAAGCUGGUCUCAAACUCUUGGCCUCCAGAAAUCCUCCAACUUCAGCCUCCCAAGGUGCUGGGAUUACAGGUAAUAGCCACUGUGCCCAGUUAAGGUGCAACUUCUUUAUGGAGCUUUUCUUUACUUCUCCAAGCAAAAUUAGUUGCUCCCUUCUCUAUGUUCUCUGUACAUUUUAGUUUGUACCAUAUAAAAUUGCCUCUAUGUAACCAUUUUUGACCUACAAAUCUGGCAAUUUUAUAUCAUUUAGCCAAAUAUCUCCUUAUCCCAUUGUAUUACAUUUUGGGUUGGCAUGUGUCUAUCCUCUCUCCAUUCCACCCCCCAGAAUGUAAGUUCCAUGACAGUUAACAGUAAGAGCUGACUUUCUGUGUGCUUCCUAGGAGGCCAGGACUGUUCUACACACUUGAAGUAAAUUAACUCUUUUAAUUCUUAGAGCAAUGGUGUAAUGAUGAUACUUUUCUAUGCAUAGUACCACUAGAUAAGUGAGGAAGCUGAGGCACACAGAAGCUGUAUUUGUCAAGGUUCUCCAGAAGGACAGAACUAGUCAGAUAUAUGUCUAUAUUAAAGGGAGUUUAUUAGGGAGAAUUGGCUCACACAGUCAAAGGUGAAGUUCCACACAAUAGCCACCUGCAAGCUGAGGAAGAAAGAAGCCAGUAGUGGCUCAGUUUGAGUUCAAAAGCCUCAAAAGCAGGAAAGCCUACAGUGCAACCUUCAGUCUGUGGCAAGGCCUGAGAGCCCCAGCAAACCACUGGUGUAAGUAGUCCAAGGGUCCAAAGGCCAAAAAACCUGGAGUCUGAUGUCCAAGAGCAAGAGGAACAGAUGGAAGCAUCCAGCACAGGAGAAAGAUGAAAGCCAGAAGACCCAGCAAGACAGCUUAUCCCACCUCCUUCCACCUGCUUUAUUCUAGCCACGCUGGCAGCUGAUUGGGUGGUGCCCACUCACAUUGAGGGUGGGUCCAGUCCACUGACUCACAUGUCAAUCUCCUCUGGCAACAUUCUCACAGACGCACCCAGAAACAACACCUUACCGGCUAUCUAGACAUCCUGCAAUCCAAUCAAGCUGACACCCAGUAUUAAUCAUCACAGAAUCUAAGUAACUUGCCCAGCCUCACAAAACUUGACAGAGCUUGGAUUUGAGCCUAGGUUAUCUGUCUUUAAGGUCCAGAGACUUAACCAUUUCUCUAAAAUCCUUCUAUUACUAUUCUGUCUGGUUGUGUUUUGUUCACCACUGUAUUCCCAGGGCUAGCACAAGGCUAGGGACCUACUAGGUGCUUAGUAAAGAGGUGAAUUAAAUGAUUUUGUACCAGUCACAUUUACUGAGCACCUACUCUGUGCUCCCAGAUGUUGUGGUGGUAGGCACCAAGAAAAAUAAGGCCCAGUCCCCACCUUUAUGGAGAUGGUGGCCAAGCAGGGGCCCCUGGAAACAGUGUAGCAUUUACAUUGAGGAGGCUGAACGUCAGAGGUGAGGAGAACUAUGGAUGGCCUGUUGUGUACCUGGAGGUAGAACAGGUGAUGGAGAAGUCCUGAGAAAGAGAAGGGUAGAAUUAUCCAUGUGAAGGAGGGUCCAGGUUCAAUGCAGAUGUGUUCUAGACAGAUGGAGCAGCUUAUGCAAAGGCCCUGAGUUGGGGCAGGGUAGGGGGAGAAUGGCAAAGCAGGGGUGGGAGUUCAGAGAAUGUAGAACUGGGGCCGCUGGGCCCUAGGGCCUAGAUUACAACUUCAGCUGUAUCAUUUAUCUCCUUAGUGACUUUGGGUAGAUUUCUUACCUCCUUAUGCCUCAGUUUCCUCUUCUGUAAAAUGGAUAUAAUAACAGUACCUGUCUGGUGAGAUUCAAAGGAAGCAUUGCCUUACUUAUACUCAAAGUAUACAGAAUAGUGUCUGGUUCAUAGAAAAUGCUCUAACAUAAUUCUUAAGGAAUUAAAUUUCCUGAGUGUGUAGAAGUUCAUGAAAGAAAAUAUUUGCUUCAGGAGAGUUAGAAAUUUGCGAUUAGGGCUUCUGUAUUAGUCCGUUCUUGCACUGCUAUAAAGAAAUACCUGGGACUGGGUAAUUUAUAAGAAAAGAGGUUUAAUUGGCUCACAGUUCUGCAGGCUGUACAGGAAACAUAGUGGCUUCUCUUUCUCGGGAGGCCUCAGGAAGCUUACAAUCAUGGCGGAAGGCAAAGGGGAGCAAGGCAUCUCACAUGUCAGGAGCAGGAGCAAAAGAGAGGGAGCGGGGUGGUGCUGCACACUUUUCAACAACCAGAUCUUAUGAAAACUCACUCAUUGUCACAUGGACAGUACCAAGAAGAUGCUGCUAAACUAUUUAUGAAAAAUCUGCCCCCAUGAUCUAAUCACCUCCCACCAGCCCCCACCUCCAACAUUAGGGAUUGCAAUUUGGUGGGGACAAAGAUCCAAACCAUAUCAGCUUCAAACUGCGUUCUCAUAAUUAUAAAGUAAUUGGAAUAAUAGCCACCAUGUAUUGUGUGCUUAAUAGGUAUUCCAUGGCAUGCUAACCUCAAAACAACCUUGGGAAGAAGGUACUACUGUCUCCAUUUUAUACAUGAGUAUGUGAGGCACAGGGAGGUUAAAUCAUAGUCUCACAAUUAGCAAAUACAUAGAAGACAGGUUUUAAUUCAGACAUUGGCCUUCUGAGUCCUUGUGCUGAGCUACUUUGCCACAAUGAUUUUCUGGUUUGCAAUUUUAAAAUGAGAGUCAAGUUGGAUGCAGUGGCUCAUGCCUGUAAUCCCCAGUGGUUUGGGAGGCCAAUGCGGGAGGAUUACCUUGAGGCCAGGAGUUUGAAACCAGCCUGAGCAACAGCAAGAUCCUGCCUUACAAAAAAUUUUAAAAAUUAGCUGGGUGUGUUGAUGGUCACUGCCAUGGUGAUGAUUACUCGGGCCCAGGAGUUCAAGGCUGCAAUGAGCUAUAUAGUGCCACUGCACUCCAGCCUGGGAAACAGAGCAAGACCCUGUCUCUAAAAUAAAUAAAUAUAUAAAUAAACAAACAAACAAAAUCAGAGUGAGAUGGUAGGGCCCUAAAUCAGUCUUGGUUUAAUGGAACUAUUUGAAAAGUAACGAACAAAAAAAGUAUAAAGGAAUGAAUAAAUGUUCCUAUGACAUAUGCUUGUUGGUUUCCAUCACUUUGGGCUUCUUUCAAUUGAUUGAUAAUAACUCCAUUCCCUUGAGAAAAAUCAGUAAGAGUUUACAUACAGCUACAGGUCACUCUUUUGGGCCAAAUGUUUAAGAAAUAAUCAGUGGAGUUUUCUUCCUUCUUUGUUUUUCAUCUUCUCUUAAAAUUUUAAACUAAGCAAAAGAUUUCAUCUAAGUUUUCAGUCUGAUGUCUUCAAAAUAAAACAUUUUAAGAGGAAAAAACCCGUAAACAUGUCACUGGUAGAAUUAUGCAUAAUUUUAGAAAGGAAGCAGUAGGGUGCAGUGUUAGAACUAAAGAUUUUAGAAGACCAGAAUGUUAAGCCUGUAUGAGACUUUAAAGAUCAUCUGGUAAUGAAAGAGUUAAGGUAAAGGACCUGCUCUUGAAACUUGUGAUCUUGGGUAAGUUAUUUAACUUAUCUGAACACCAGAUUCCUGUCUCUUAAGUGGGGAUAAUAAUAAUACUUGCCAUGAAGGUUAUAACAUGAAGAGUAAAUGCGUUCAUUCAUGAAAACCGCUUCCUACGAUGCCUGGCAGUCAGUGUGCAAAGUUACUUUCCCAAGGUCAUCCAUGUAGUUAAUGUCAGAAAACAGAAUUUUUCACUCCUAAUCCUGUUUUCCAGGCAAGUAUGUUUUUUUUAACAGCAGAUUAUUAUGAACAUUCUCAACAUAAUUGAUACUUGAGUCUCAUUGUGUGUGUUUGCUUCUAGUAACUAUAUCGAUUCACGUUUGUUUUCUAUUCUUUUUCCCUUCUGAUAUUAUGAUAUUAAUUCUUCAUGUAGACAGCCUUUUCAUAAAUUUCUGAGCAAUAAUAUUAGUCCUAGGUUAAAGCCAGACAGCUGAAUUUAUGGUAUGUAUCCCUUAAAAAUUAUUGUUAUCUCAAACAACUUUACAGGAAAAAAAGCAUCAAUUGAUGUUAAACCUCAAAUAUGCGUUUGUUUUUAGCUGAAAAUUCCAAGCAGAAUUACCCAAGUAUUGAAAAUCUUCAGAAAGAGCUGUAAGUUGAUGGAUAUCUCAAUUACCCUGAUUUGAUCUUUACUCAUUAUAUAAAUGUAUCAAAUUAUCAUGUUUCCCCCCACAUAUGUAUACAUAUUAUGUGUGAAUAAAAAAAUUAAAAAAGAAAAAAGAAAUAGCAUUAGUUAGUAUUAGACAGUGUCAAUAAGGCAAGAAAUUUAAAAAUGAUCUAAUUACAAGACUUAACAUCUAGAAACCUUUUGUUUUUUGAAAUUAAACCAAGAUAUAAAGACACAGAAUCAAGUUAUCCAGAAUGUGCAGAGUCAGAAAUGGAGGACAUCUUGUCUCUAGUUCAUUUUAUAUUUUUAGGCAGUGGUUAAUCAGUGAAAUUUUGUCAUGGGUUGGGGAGAUCUCACCAUUUCUCUUAUCAUUUUCUUCUAGCCAUGCUUCACUCUGGGGUUUAGGGGAGAUUCAUAGUGGAGGGAAUAAGGACUAGGACCUAACUGUAUUCUGAGAAAAAGUAUGUAAUUUGAAGAGGUCAUCAGGAAAUCAUUUCCCAAGCAGGGCACUUGUCUUUGAAAUCCUUUCUCACUCCAGAUCUAACAAAGCCCUAGUUCAUUGUACC